rnacentral:tRNA from 1 species
GUGGUAGCUCAGUUGGUAGAGUGUGUGCCUAGAGUGCAUAAAGCCCUGGGUUUGAUCCUGGGAACCACA